rnacentral:rRNA from 1 species
UACGGAGGAUGCAAGCGUUAUCCGGAAUGAUUGGGCGUAAAGCGUCCGCAGGUGGCUGUGUAAGUCUGCUGUUAAAUAGUGAGGCUCAACCUCAUAAAGGCAGUGGAAACUACACGGCUCGAGUGCGUUCGGGGCAGAGGGAAUUCCUGGUGUAGCGGUGAAAUGCGUAGAGAUCAGGAAGAACACCGGUGGCGAAAGCGCUCUGCUAGGCCGCAACUGACACUGAGGGACGAAAGCUAGGGGAGCGAAUGGG